GGUCAAGUGAAUAAGGGCAUACGGUGGAUGCCUUGGCAGAGACAGGCGAUGAAGGACGUGGAUACCUGCGAAAAGCCUCGGGGAGCUGGUAAACAAGCUUUGAUCCGGGGAUAUCCGAAUGGGGCAACCCAAUCCGAGUGAUCGGAUUAUUGCUGACUGAAUACAUAGGUCAGUAAAGCGAACGCGGUGAACUGAAACAUCUCAGUAGCUGCAGGAAAAGAAAUCAACCGAGAUUCCCGUAGUAGCGGCGAGCGAACCGGGACCAGCCUUCAUGAUUUAGCGUAAGACUUAGGAGAACGACCUGGGAAGGUCGGCCGUAGUGGGUGAUAGCCCCGUAUCCGAAAAGACUUUCGUGGAACUAAGCAUGAGCAAAGUAGGGCGGGACACGUGGAAUCCUGUCUGAAGAUGGGGGGACCAUCCUCCAAGGCUAAAUACUCGUCUCUGACCGAUAGUGAACCAGUACCGUGAGGGAAAGGCGAAAAGAACCGCGGAGAGCGGAGUGAAAUAGAUCCUGAAACCGUAUGCCUACAAGCAGUGGGAGCCCGUUUACGGGUGACUGCGUACCUUUUGUAUCAUGGGUCAGCGACUUACUUUCUGUGGCGAGCUUAACCGAAGAGGGGAGGCGUAGGGAAACCGAGUCUGAAUAGGGCGACAGUCGCAGGGAGUAGACCCGAAACCGGACGAUCUAUCCAUGGUCAGGAUGAAGGUGGGGUAAAACCUACUGGAGGUCCGAACCCACGCCCGUUGAAAAGGUCGGGGAUGAACUGUGGAUAGGAGUGAAAGGCUAAACAAGUCCGGAGAUAGCUGGUUCUCCCCGAAAGCUAUUGAGGUAGCGCGUCGCGUAUUACUGCCGGGGGUAGAGCACUGUUACGGCUAGGGGGCUGUCACGGCUUACCAACCCGUUGCAAACUCCGAAUACCGGCAAGUAGAGCGCGGCAGACAGACGGCGGGUGCUAACGUCCGUCGUCAAGAGGGAUGAAAACCCAGACCGCCAGCUAAGGUCCCCAAAUAUGGCUCAGUGGGAAACGAUGUGGGAAGGCCCAGACAGCUAGGAGGUUGGCUUAGAAGCAGCCAUCCUUUAAAGAAAGCGUAAUAGCUCACUAGUCGAGUCGGCCCGCGCGGAAGAUUUAACGGGGCUCAAGCCAUAUACCGAAGCUGCGGGUGUGUUCUGAUGAACACGCGGUAGGGGAGCGUUCGGUAAGCCGAUGAAGGUGUGUUGGAAAGCAUGCUGGAGGUAUCCGAAGUGCGAAUGCUGACAUGAGUAGCGAUAAAGGGUGUGAAAACCACCCUCGCCGUAAGCCCAAAGGGUUCCUGCGUCAAGUCAAUCUGCGCAGGGUGAGUCGGCCCCUAAGGCGAGGCCGAGAGGCGUAGCUGAUGGGAAAUCGGUUAAUAUUCCGAUACUGUUAC
rnacentral:rRNA from 1 species